AAAGUAUUACCAAUAUGUCGCAGGCGGUCAAGGCUCAGCUGGAAGUGAAAUCCAAGUGCGAACAAGCGCAGCAUACCAUCAAAGGGCUGUAUGAUUGGGAGCAGGAAGUGAAGCAGAAGGAGGCCCAGUCUCGACAGCAAGAUAAAGAGGAAGGAUUUACGACACCGAUCAGAAGUCAUGUUGAUUAAAAUGAAUAAGUUUGCGGAAGAUCAACUAGCUUCAGAAAAACAGGAAUUAUUCAGCGAAUCAACUAUUUCGAAGGAUGUCAAUGAAGCAGA